rnacentral:rRNA from 1 species
GAAGUCCUACGGGAGGCAGCAGUGGGGAAUAUUGCACAAUGGGGGAAACCCUGAUGCAGCGACGCCGCGUGAGUGAAGAAGUAUUUCGGUAUGUAAAGCUCUAUCAGCAGGGAAGAAAAAAGACGGUACCUGACUAAGAAGCCCCGGCUAACUACGUGCCAGCAGCCGCGGUAAUACGUAGGGGGCAAGCGUUAUCCGGAUUUACUGGGUGUAAAGGGAGCGUAGACGGCUGUGCAAGUCUGAAGUGAAAGCCCAGGACUCAACCCUGGUACUGCUUUGGAAACUGU